rnacentral:rRNA from 1 species
ACUACGGGAGGCAGCAGUGAGGAAUAUUGGUCAAUGGGCGCGAGCCUGAACCAGUCAAGUAGCGUGAAGGAUGACUGCCCUACGGGUUGGAAACUUCUUUUAUAAAGGAAUAAAGUGAGGCACGUGUGCCUUUUUGUAUGUACUUUAUGAAUAAGGAUCGGCUCACUCCGUGCCAGAAGCCGCGGUAAUACGGAGGAUCCGAGCGUUAUCCGGAUUUAUUGGGUUUAAAGGGAGCGUAGAUGGGUUGUUAAGUCAGUUGUGAAAGUUCGCGGCGCAACCGUAAAAUUGCAAUUGAUACUGGCAGUCUUGAGUGCAGUAGAGGUAAGCGGAAUUCGUGGUGUAGCGGUGAAAUGCGUAGAUAUCACGAAGAACUCCGAUUGCGAAGGCAGCUUACUAAACUGCCACUGACAUUGAGGCUCGAAAGUGUGGGUAGCAAACAGGAUUAGAUACCCCUGUAGUC